AGGCUAGACCCACUCUACCACCUGAGAUCAGUGGCUGUGACUCAAACAAAAGCAGGACAGCCCAGAAGUGAACUGCAGUGUACCAAGUCAAACAGCAGAAGAAAAUAGAAGUACAAGAAGCUCCAGAUCAGGUCUGUCAGAUGUUUCUGUGCCAGGUGGCUGAAGAUAGAUGCUCCAACGUUGUAAGAAAUUAGGGGACUGUCCAGGAAGUCAGCUGUCACCACAAACUGUGUGGUUUUGGAAGCUAUAUCUUUGUGCCUCCUACAUCUUCAGCCAAACCAAGUUUACUACCAGGUCAGGAGCACAUUUGAGUCGGUGCUUUGUCGCCACCUGCUGGAGAAAGGAGGGACGGCCACCUCAGUCCUGGCGCAGCAAUAACCGUUGUGAAUAAAAGGUGAGGAGUCUGCAGCAGCUGACCAAACCCCCCAAACUCCCACGGGCUCAGUGAACCAGGCUC
ensembl:lncRNA